rnacentral:lncRNA from 1 species
AAAGUUGCAAAAGUUGAUAAAUUGGUUGAAACUUCUAAAGUUUACAAAGCUCGUGUUAAUGUUGAUGUUUAAAGGAUUAUUGGAGAGUCAAGUCAUCUAACUAAGAAAGUUGAACAAGAAUCAUCUGGAACCUCUACUCAUCAAAAUCCCUAUAAGUUCUCUAAUGUUGGGACAUCCAUUAUUUAUGAAUCUAUAAUUUUUUAUACUUUAUCUGUUCAUGUUCUAAUCACAAC